rnacentral:lncRNA from 1 species
AGCGGUGUAUUGUCCACAUAAUAAUCCUCAUUAUCUUCAUCACUGCUGGGCUCGUCAGUCACAUCUCUGUAUAGACCAUAUAUUCCAUGUGAAAUAGAUAGAGACUGAGGCGGUCGAGGAGGGGGAAUUGCAUCACCAGGACAAGAGGGAAUCCCCCGAAGCAAGUAAUGCAUCGAAUUGGGCGUUAAUUCCCGCAUACUGCAUAUCACUUGCCUGUGAGGCCUUAGCUUCAUUAGCUUCAUUAGAUAACUCAGCUAUCUGCUGCUUCAAAGCCAGAAUCG